AACUGAAGAGUUUGAUCCUGGCUCAGAUUGAACGCUGGUGGCAUGCUUAACACAUGCAAGUCGAACGGUAACAGGUCUUAGGAUGCUGACGAGUGGCGGACGGGUGAGUAACGCGUAGGAAUCUGUCCAUUUGAGGGGGAU
rnacentral:rRNA from 1 species